rnacentral:tRNA from 1 species
GCGGGGGUUCCCAAGCCAGGUCAAAGAAGAGCUACGACCACAGGGGGAGAACUUAAGAUCCUCUGGUUUAGGCCUUCGUGGGUUCAAAUCCCACCCCCCGCACCA